GAACCUGCAAUAAACGACCCUUGCCGCUUGGCUUUGACUUAGGACUUUGGUGGACUUUUGUGGGAGGGUUCGGAACUUCAGGCAUUACAAAAUAAAUAUUUAAAAAAUUAAAAACAAUUAGUUAAUAUAACUCUAUUUCCAAACAACUAUAAACAAAACAACUCAUGGUUGUUUGCCAACUACAGAAGAAGAAAAUGCUGAACCUGAGUUUAAAGAGAAUUGAAAACGUAUCUUUUUCUCAUCAACUAACAUUGUGAAGAUACAAAAACAAAGCAUAUUCUGCAUGGUUCUCAUAAAGCAUUUGCUGUCCUGUUGUAAGUCAAAAUUACUAUUUAAUCUGACACAGAUGAACCCUUGUAGCUUGCAAUCCUUCAUCUAAUGUUCCCUAGAGCAGAAAUGCCAACUUUACCCCUUAGGAGAUCUUUCUACUUCUUUUGCUUUAUGGUUAGCAACUUCUCUUGAAGAUUGACAAGGUCUGACAACACCAGACCCACAUUUCUGCAAGAUAACCAUCUGCUCUGGCUGAACUGUGGCAGCUCCUUUAAACAGGGCAUUCUGAAGUUACCUCCUUUGUCUCAUACCUGGAUGCUUUCUCAUUUAUGUUAUAGGCCAGGACCCAAAGGCAUUUGAAUUUGUGAUACCUGAUUUAUAUAGUGUUGGUUUGCUGUACAGAUGGCAAAGAACUAGUGCCCUGUGCCAAGAAAUUAUUAUGGCACAUAGAGUCAUUUUAUUUCAGAGCUUUCUGGUGCCAGUGGAAUAAAACUCUCCCUUUAUGGACUACUAAACAGUGAUAUUCUCUUGUUCACUAGUGUUACUACUGUUGUGUGAGAUGCUAUUUUUUAACACUCUGGUUUUAAUUAACUUGUGAACAAAUCUUAUGGAAUUUUUUAUUACUGUUAAACACUAACUUCAGUGAAUAAUUGUAUCCCCUGGGAUUUACCUCAUAAGAAAUAAGGCAAACCACUUAUUUUUUAAGUACUUUUUCAUGUCUGACAAUAGGCUCUAUCAAGGAAAAGUAACUCAGUGUUACAGAUGACAAAUCACAGUAGCCAAAAACAAGGAACUUCCCCAGAGAAACAACAUCAUUGAUUCAUCUCUGAUGUUAUCCUGUAUAUCUAACGGCACAUUUAACAACAUGCCUAGUGACUUUCUUGAGUUGCUACUAAAUGAAGAAGAAAGAAUUUUGAGUAUAUUUAAACUUAAUCAAUGAGAUUAAAUUAAAUAUAAUAGAGAGUUUGUUUCAGCUUUUUAUCAUCAUAUAUGAUUAAUUGAAAAUUAUUUCUUUCAUUGUUACUGCAUUAAUUUAUUCUCACUUCAAUAUCCCAUUAAAUUAAAAUAAGCAACAUCACCGAGGUCAUUAGUUGUAACAAAGUAUUUAGGCUCCAAAUUCUUAUUUCUAAUACUUAACAAAAAUAUUCUAUAAGCAAGUAUCCUUCAUUGUAUACCACAGUUUAGAAGUCCACAUAGAAAUCUUCUAUUACAUGAUAAAUUUUUUUCUGAAAUCAGACAAGAAAACAGAAUGUGUCCAUGAUCACAAGUAUUCACAAGGAUUCAUAAAAUAUGAUAUUGAAUUUAUAAAAUUAAAGGGGCUCUAAUUUCAUUUCGGGUGGUAUCAUUGGUAAAACUGAGAAUUUUAAUAUUAUAUUUUUGCUAUAUGUUUAUUUUGCUAUAUGUUUGCUAUAAUUUUGUUAUAGGUUCAUCAUAGCAUGUGAUGAGGGCACAGAUUUUGAAAUCAAACUGACCUGGCUUUAUAUUCUGGCUAUCCUACAUACUAUGAGUUUGAUAUUUUGCUAAUUAUUUAACUUGUCUUGCCUCUGCUGUCUCCUAUCACUCCAUUUAAAAAAUAAAUAAUUACUUUAAUUUUGGAGAAUUUUAGCCAAGAUGAAUCAAGUAAUAAAUUUAUUGUUCAAAACAUAACA